rnacentral:misc_RNA from 1 species
GUAGGUGAACCUGCGGAAGGAUCAUUAACACGUAUCCAACGUUAAACCCCCCUGUGAACAUUGAGCUUGCUCUUGUAGCUCGCAUAGAAUUGCAAUUCCUGGUAAAUCAUUGUUGAACAGAUUUUGAUUCAGGGACCUCAGUUCUGGUGAGUUACAAUUGAGCGAUUGAUCAAGUGGCCUGGUUUCCCCAAACAGUCAGUGUCUGAAAGUGUCAUUGAUUGCGUAAGGAUAACGCUUUACGAUCACUAGA